rnacentral:lncRNA from 1 species
GGAAAGUGACACCAGAGAACAGCAGAGACGCACGGGCCACAGUGCAGCCUCUGGGUGCUUACCCGGAACCUCAGUUCUCAGAAGAGAAGGAGCAAGCGCAGGCAAGCUCGCUCUUUUUCUCCUGUGAAUGCAGUCCUGUGAGCAGAAGUGAGUCCCGAAGUCCCCCUUGGAAGGGGGCAGCGAGACGGAAGGCCCCGAACUGCCCUGCACCUCAGACAUGUCACCAAAUCGUUCUGUUCACGAUGAGUUUUCAGCCAAGCAAGAGAAAAGCAUGUUUACCAGAAGACCACCUGUCCAGAAGGAGAACGGCUGAUGUAAAAACCUUAAGAAGCAAAACGAAAAUUUCCCAAGUUACGUGACAUUCGAUUUCCCCUGUGCAAAUAACUGUAAUUUCUUUCCUUUGAAAAUAAUAAUCAAUUAACCGCCAGGAUUCUGUGUGCUGGACACAGGCAGCCAUGGACAAAGUGUUCAGUAUCCUUUUCUUUUCUGUUAAUUCAACAGAGCUGCAGAAAACCGUGAGUUUGAGAGGCUGACACGUGAAAUGGUGAAGGAGAAGGGACUUUCGCCAAUCCACAUCUACAGCUACAGAAAGCCGUUUUACCAGCAGCAACAGGCUCUCCAGAAUGGGUGCUAAUGAUAAAAACUCGGCUUUAACACAUUUCAUUUUUAAUUAAUUUUUAAUAUUUUUAAAAAAAGCUUUUCCUUUGCACCACAAGACCCACUUCUUCCUGGUGAGGUCCCGGAGGUAUGUCUGCUCUUUUCUGAGAGGCAUGGCUCUUCUAAUUAAUUAGAAAUUGCACGGGGAAGGAGGGGUGGAAAGCAGCAGGGGGCGAACAAUCAAAUUCCAGCCUUCUCCACUUCCCUUCCCAAGCACUGCAGCCGGAACUUUCUGCUUGGAAGCAAGCCGCUGCCAUCAGUUGCACUGAUUGCAGGUCAGACCUUCCCGCUGCUCCGGAAAGUCUGUCCAGACUCCUACAGGCCCAAGGCUGGCCUGCAAAUAUUCGGGGGUCCUAUCUUCCAGGGACAUUUCCUGAAUUCGUAUUUGUGAAACAUAGACCUUCUGCCCUUUUUCUUUCUAGUACAUUAUUUUAAAUUUCAAAAAUAUUACACGUUGAUGGGAAAAAAGUCAAAUACGGUAGAAGCACAUAAAGAAGAAAAAAAAGAACAUACAUAUUGACUUAGCCACUUUCAUUGUCAUGGAGACACAAUGCUUGACACCCUAACAGGUUUACUUAGGGUCAUGUUUCAGUCCUUAGUGGCCGGCUCCAAGGCAAGAUCACAUGGCACAGGGGCAUGGAGGACAAGGGAUGCUUUUGGCAUGGCAGACAGGAAGGACAGAGAUCAAGGGAGGAGCCAGGAAAGGAGCUAGAACCUUCCAGGUCAUGCCCACAGUGACCUGGCUCUUCUGACAGAAUCCUGCCUCCUAACAGCAAGUCAGCUAUAAAGCCCCCAGCAUCCAAUCUCCUUCCCAAAGCCCUGCCCAUGAGCUUAUUAGGCUUCAGGUGAAAUAUUUAGAAUGACCUGUGUGUGUGUGUGUGUGUGUGUGUGUGUGUGUGUGGGUGUAUACACAUACACAUAUAUACACAUAUAUAUGUACACAUCUAUGAUAACAAUAGUAUAUAGAUAGAUAGAUUAUUCUUUCUUUUCUUUGUUUCUA